GUUGGCAAGAACAAGCACCUUAAAAAAGGUGGCGAAAAUACCGCCAAGAUAAAAGCAGUUCAUGCAUGUUCUAAGAAAGAUUGGUAUGAUGUGAAAGCACCAGUUAUGGUGAUUAUAGGAAAUAUUGGAUAAAACACUAGUCGCAAGGACUCAAGGAGCCAAAAUUGCAUCUGAUACCUGGAAAUCAUCAUGUUUUUGAAGUGAACUUUGCUGAUCUGCAGAAUGAUGAAUUUGCAUUAGAAACUCAAACCAAUUAUGGAGAAUGUUCAAGGCAAAAACUGCCUGGUCAACUUUCAU
rnacentral:lncRNA from 1 species